rnacentral:rRNA from 1 species
CAGGUCUUGGCAUCUAGUGCAAUCUGUAGAGAUACGGAGUUCCCUUCGGGGACGCUAAGACAGGUGGUGCAUGGCUGUCGUCAGCUCGUGUCGUGAGAUGUUGGGUUAAGUCCCGCAACGAGCGCAACCCUUGUCCUGUGUUGCCAGCACGUAAAGGUGGGAACUCACAGGAGACUGCCGCGGAGAACGCGGAGGAAGGCGGGGAUGACGUCAAGUCAUCAUGCCCCUUAUGACCUGGGCUACACACGUACUACAACGGGAUGUACAGAGGGCAGCGAAGCCGCGAGGCGGAGCGAAUCCCAGAAAACAUCUCCCAGUUCGGAUUGCAGGCUGCAACUCGCCUGCAUGAAGUCGGAAUCGCUAGUAAUCGCAGGUCAGCA